rnacentral:misc_RNA from 1 species
GAUCAUUACCGAGUACAACUCGCCAACCCACUGUGAACAUACCUCAGUUGCUUCGGCGGACCCGCCCCGGCGCCCUCGGGCCCGGACCAGGCGCCCGCCGGAGGACCCCAAACCACUGAAUUACCAUGUGUAUCUUCUGAGCAAAGGCGAAAGCCGAAAAUGAAUUAAAACUUUCAACAACGGAUCUCUUGGUUCUGGCAUCGAUGAAGAACGCAGCGAAAUGCGAUAAGUAAUGUGAAUUGCAGAGCUCAGUGAACCAUCGAAUUUUUGAACGCACAUUGCGCCCGCCAGCACUCUGGCGGGCAUGCCUGUCCGAGCGUCAUUUCAACCCCUCGGGCCCCCUUCACGGGGCGGCCCGGUGUUGGGGAUCGCCCGCCCCCCGCGGCGGGCGUCCCCCAAAUCCAGUGGCGGACCUUCCGCGCCUCCCCUGCGUAGUACUGCACCUCGCACCGGAGCGCGCUGGGGCCCUGCCGUAAAACCCCCCACUUCUCAAGGUUGACCUCGGAUCAGGUAGGAAUACCCGCUGAACUUAAGCAUAUCAAUAAGCGGAGGA